GAUGAACGCUGGCGGCGUGCCUAAUACAUGCAAGUCGAGCGAACAGACGAGGAGCUUGCUCCUCUGACGUUAGCGGCGGACGGGUGAGUAACACGUGGAUAACCUACCUAUAAGUCUGGGAGAACUUCGGGAAACCGGAGCUAAUACCGGAUAAUAUAUUGAACCGCAUGGAUCAAUAGUGAAAGACGGUUUUGCUGUCACUUAUAGAUGGAUCCGCGCCGCAUUAGCUAGUUGGUAAGGUAACGGCUUACCAAGGCGACGAUGCGUAGCCGACCUGAGAGGGUGAUCGGCCACACUGGAACUGAGACACGGUCCAGACUCCUACGGGAGGCAGCAGUAGGGAAUCUUCCGCAAUGGGCGAAAGCCUGACGGAGCAACGCCGCGUGAGUGAUGAAGGUCUUCGGAUCGUAAAACUCUGUUAUUAGGGAAGAACAAAUGUGUAAGUAACUAUGCACGUCUUGACGGUACCUAAUCAGAAAGCCACGGCUAACUACGUG
rnacentral:rRNA from 1 species